UUUGCCUGUGUGAAAUUUACACUCUGGCCCUGGCUGGCGUGGCUGGGUGGAUUGAGGGCCGGCCUGAGAAUCCAAAGGGUCGCUGGUUCGAUUCCCAGUCAGGGCACAUGCCUGGGUUGCCGGCCAAGUCCCCAUACAGGGGCCCUUGAGAGGCAACCGCACAAUGAUGUUUCUCUCCCUCUCUUUUUC